CUAGGAUUAGAUGCCCUAUUAUUUAAAAAAACUAAAGUAUUAAUAGAUAUGAGCUUUAAACUUAAAAAAUUUGGCGGUAUUUUAGUCUAUUCAGAGGAACCUGUUUUAUAAUCGAUAAUCCACGUUGGACCUUACUUUAAUUUGUAUAUUAGUUUAUAUACCGUCGUUAUAAAAAAUUUUAUAAGAAUAAUAAUUUUUAAAAUUUUAUAUCAGAUCAAGGUGUAGCUUAUAUUAAAGAUGGGUUACAAUAAAAUUAUUUAUAUGAAUAUAAAAAUGAAAAAUUUAUUGAAAGAGGAUUUGAAAGUAAAAUUAAAUAGAUUUUUAAUUUGAUUUUAGCUCUAAAAUAUGGACAUAUCGCCCGUCACUCUUAUUAUU
rnacentral:rRNA from 1 species